UUUCCGUAGGUGAACCUGCGGAAGGAUCAUUAAAGAGAAUAUGCCCUUCGGGGUAGAUCUCCCACCCUUUGUUUAUAUUACCUUUGUUGCUUUGGCAGGCCCGUCUUCGGACUACCGGCUUCGGCUGGUCAGUGCUUGCCAGAGGACCCAAAACUCUUAUUAUUAAUGUCGUCUGAGUACUAUAUAAUAGUUAAAACUUUCAACAACGGAUCUCUUGGUUCUG
rnacentral:misc_RNA from 1 species